CCUACGGGGGGCUGCAGUGGGGAAUAUUGGACAAUGGGGGGAACCCUGAUCCAGCCAUGCCGCGUGUGUGAAGAAGGCCCUCGGGUUGUAAAGCACUUUCAGUGAGGAAGAAAGCCUGGUGGUUAAUACCCAUCAGGAAAGACAUCACUCACAGAAGAAGCACCGGCUAACUCCGUGCCAGCAGCCGCGGUAAUACGGAGGGUGCGAGCGUUAAUCGGAAUUACUGGGCGUAAAGCGCGCGUAGGUGGCUUGAUAAGCCGGUUGUGAAAGCCCCGGGCUCAACCUGGGAACGGCAUCCGGAACUGUCAAGCUAGAGUGCAGGAGAGGAAGGUAGAAUUCCCGGUGUAGCGGUGAAAUGCGUAGAGAUCGGGAGGAAUACCAGUGGCGAAGGCGGCCUUCUGGACUGACACUGACACUGAGGUGCGAAAGCGUGGGUAGCAAACAGGAUUAGAUACCCCUGUAGUC
rnacentral:rRNA from 1 species